rnacentral:rRNA from 1 species
UAGGGAAUAUUGCAAAAUGGGCGAAAGCCCGAUGCAGCAACGCCGCGUGGGCGAUGAAGGCCUUCGGGUCGUAAAGCCCUUUUUGCGGGGAUGAGGAAGGACAGUACCCUCAGAAUAAGCCUCGGCUAACUACGUGCCAGCAGCCGCGGUAAAACGUAGGAGGCGAGCGUUAUCCGGAUUUACUGGGCGUAAAGCGCGUGCAGGCGGAUUGGAGAGUUGGAUGUGAAAGCUCCCGGCUUAACUGGGAGAGGUCGUUCAAUACUUCCAGUCUUGAGUGCAGUAGAGGGAAGUGGAAUUCCGUGUGUAGUGGUGAAAUGCGUAGAUAUCCGGAGGAACACCAGUGGCGAAAGCGGCUUCCUGGACUGUAACUGACGCUCAGACGCGAAAGCUAGGGUAGCAAAC